CUAUAUAUUCCUUCUUUUGCCAUCGCGCCCUCGCUCCUCGAUCAGGCAGGUUCCACUAGGGUUCGAAGAGGCAGAGUGAGUCGAUUGGUGGAGUUCUUGCUGCGGCGAUGAGCGGCGCGGCCGCUUCGGUAUGGGAGGGUGUGGACGGGCGAUGGACGUCGAGGCGAUUCUUGGGAAGGUCACCGACCGACGAGGGUUCGGAGACGCCUUCGCCGCCGAGGUUUGCUCGGAAACGAGCACUGCUUGUUCCAGUAUGCUGGUAGAACCAGUACACGGACUGCAACUGCGAUGCCACUAGUUUGUUUCAUGAAAAUAUAGGUUCUCCAGAGUUCUAGGAUGUGUCUGUGUGUGUUUGUGGGUCAUAGCUUUGGAGGCAUUUGAACAUUGGCCCUCUUACUAUUGGUUGCGACUUACAUGUAGAUUAUGUUAUGAAUGUGCAUCUGCUCUCAGAAGUUCCCUUUACAGUUUUCA